UAAGACUUGUGAAGGACUAAUUCACAUCUCAUGAAUGCAACUCAAGCACUUUUAUUAAGCUAAAGCCUUU
rnacentral:tRNA from 1 species